UAAUAACAAAAUCUUAGAUUAUAAAAUUACUUGCUAACCUUAAUAAUGAUUCCACUAAACAUGAUAUUAACCACCACAAGAAGUCAAGUCUGAAAUUCACUCAAAGAAUUCCUCUAUAUCUAUCAUCACGCUUAACAGUUCAACAGAUGAAUUUACAUCCGAGUAACCCUUUGAAUAAAAAUCCUAAGUUAUUACAACUAUUAAGUGUAACAAGUUGUUAAACACUCAUGAAUAAGCUAAAACAACCACAAUAUUUAGAUAACCCAACUAUACUAAGUCCAUCUUCAACAGUAAUUUAUACCAGCUGAAGUAGUGUAAUGAACACUUGAAAAGAUGCAUAAUAAUCCAAUUUCAUAUCAACAAUUUACAAGUCCAUUUUAUCACUUCAAGAUUACGAAUAUACCUGGAAUAACAAGAGAAAACCAACAGAAACUUCAACAAAGAAAUCAAAAUAUCAGGAGCUCUUUAGGAAGCAGUAAACAAACAGUUAUCGACUAGCUACUACCAUGUCUUGAACCCAGAAUGCGAAAAAAUAAUUUACCCAAACUUUUAAGACCCAAAAAAUCAAAAGAACAACUUCAAUGUAACAAUAUUUGGAUGAUUUAUUUUUGUAUUCUUCUUUUAAUUUUGGGACAUAUAUAAGUGUAUAGUUUCAACCAUUUGUAGCUAUAGGUAUUCUGAUCUCUGCCCUCAAAAUCAAGGAGAGACCUUUAUAGAGGGGUUUUAGGGCAGCAAAAUCUGAUUCUUAACUUCACUGUUUACCCCUUCCCCAAUUUUUAUUUUUUUCACUUUAAACCCAGUAUUUUAAAUCUUCUUGUUAAAACCAACACAUUCCCCCACUUUUCUAGCAUCUUCCUAGGCAGUUAUAAAAGAUUAUUUCAAUAACAAUACCCUAAAUACCCUUCAAAUGUCUGUUAUUUACAUUCAGAAAAAUCUCUAAUUGGGCUAGACCACAACAUGCUUGAACUCUUGCCCCUUUCUUUUGAGCUUCUGAACUAUGAAGCUCAAUUUCUGGUCCAAAAACCACAACCCACAAACAACCAAACCAACAGAGUUUUGAAACUCUUGGCAUGAAAAUUCUAACGAAGUAAAACAAAAAGAGAAUUGAGCAACAGGCAAGCAUGAAAUCAAAGUACUAAAAAGAAUCUGCUAACUACAUUAUUAGGCUAAUAUCCCUACAAACUAAUAUGACUUAAUCUAACAUACAAAUAGAAAUCGAUUUGAACUCAUAAAGAAGAAGAAAGAAAAAACAAAAAAAAAAACAAAAAAUAAAAGCAAGUAAAUAAUUAACAAGGAGAAGAAGAAGAGAUUGACUGACCAAACGGAAGCAAUAGCCAAAAAUCGCACAUGAACGAUAUGGCCACUCAAACUGCUUCAUCAAAGCCACUCAAUCUAACGAGCACCAUUUGUUAAGAAUACUCUGUCAAAGCAAGUUUCAGGCCUGGUGAGCAGAAACCUUCACUACAAACCCAACCCCAAAAUUUGGUUAAACUCUAGAUUCCAAAUUUGAAAAACUCUAGGGUUCGUUUGGGAAAAAUUCCAAGAGUUUUGGGUUUGGGGAAGCCUGGGGACUCUAGGAUGUUAAUUUGGUCGGGUUUGGGUGAAUUUGGGUUUCGGAAUCUAAUUUUGGAUCUAAAAUCCUAGGAGCUUGGUGAUGGUUUGAAGGAAAUGGGUUAGGGAUUUGGGAUGAGGGGAUGGAGGGGUGUUACUAUAGGGCUGAUCAGGGUUGUGCCACCGGUGAAGAUGGCAGAGGUUUUGGGGGCGGAGGGCUCUAGGGUUUCUAGUUGUUUGGGACGAAGAUGGGAGGUAGGAGGUUGGACUGGGGGAGGGGGGAUGAGUUAAUUAUGAAACUUAAAUACAAGUGAACCCCCCAGUUCUUAACCGUUCGAUGAGUGGAAGUCAACGGCUAGGAUAAAAAGCCUCAAAAUGGCGUUGUUUGGUUAGGACUUGGGAUUGGACUAGAUAAUUAGGGAUUGGGCCUGGGCGGGUUGGAUCAAAAAUAAAGAUUGGGAUCCUGUAUUUUUUCAUUACAACAACCCUAUUUCUCUUUCCCUCUCUGUUCCAUUUAUUUUUCCAUUAAUUAAAACCUAGAUUAAACCCUUGAAUUAAAUUAACUUACACAAUUAUCUAACAAAAUAUUUACAAUAAAUUAAUUACUCCUAAAAAAGAAAAUUACUAAUUUAAAUCUAAGAGGUUAAAAUGCAAAGGUAAGCCAUUUUUGUGAUUUUAUCUUUAAUAAGAGAACUAAUUUACUAAUUAACCUAAAAAUAUAAAAAUAAAUCCCAAAUGAAAUGCAUGAUAUUUUUGUUUUUGUAUUUUUUCAUGAUUUAAAUAAAAUAAACAUGCACAAACAAAUGCUAACAAUUAACAAAAAUCCUACGAAAAAUCUAUAAAAUUUUCAAAUAAUGUGAAAAAUUAUUUUCUUGAAUUUAUAUGAGUAAUUCAUAUAGGGAAAAAAAUCACGUUCUCACAGCUGCCCCUCUUUGCUCGGAAACACGAAGAGUUUACGUACAAGACAAAGUGAGCAAAUACGAGCGAUUUUUGCCCGUUUGAAUAUUCUGUGGGAAGAAUUUUUAAAAGAUUUGACCGCACCCUGCUUCGAGGUUGCCUACCUAUCCUUGGAUAUAAUGGAAUGAGGUUAGUGAAGUUCGGGAAGUUUCAGUAGCUGGGACUACCAGUGAGCUGUGAUUUCACUAUUGCUGCUGCUACUGCUUGCUGAACUCCUUAUAUCACCAAGACAAAAUAAAAGAAGCUAGACUAAACUAUGAUGUAUGAAUUGUAAGAAUCCUAGCUAUAUCUUCAAACUUGAUCUUGCAGUUUCUGUUGUUCUGUUGACUUGUGCUGUCCAGGUGAAAUUCCUUUGUUGCUGACUUGAAUUGUAUUAUGAGGUGUUUUUCCUUUGUUCUCCAAGCGGGAACCUGAUUACUGAACUUGAACCGUGUUUCUUUGAACAUUAUUCCUUUCCCUUUGUUCUUCCAGGUGGGAGCCUGAUUACCAACAUUUGAAUUAUCUUCCUUUCCUCCGAAACUUGACUUGUUUUCCUUUAUUUUCCAGGUGGGCACCUGAUCACCAAACUUGCACCGUCUUGCUUUGAACAUUGCUGCUUCCCUUUGUUCUCCAGUUGGGCCUCUUGGUUACCAAUAUUUACUUGGGUUUUCCUCGAAAUUUGAAUUGUUUCUCUUUUUUUUCUAGGUGGGCUCCUGAUUACCAACACUUGAAUUGCUUUCCCUUUAUUCUCCAUGGGCUCUGAUAACUGGGGGUUUGGCGUGAUUUAUUAUCCUUCUUUCUUAUGCUUUGGUUAUAAAUUAUUACAAAAUAUCCCCAAAAGGAUCAUAUGUGUGCUUGAUUGCAGGUUUGAUCGACAAAUGUGACGAGAUGAUAAAGAUCGGUUCAAAAGGAGUGAAACCUGCUCAAGUAUCAAAGACAAGGCAAACUGAGGGCAAACAGGCCUAGUGCGGCCGCAUUCGACUUUGUGUGGUCUUUAUUAGGUGAUUCAGAGAGUUGGAAAAAUGGGCUUCAAGGCAGUGCGGCCGCAUUCGAUAUUGCACGGUCCACACCGAAGGUUCUGCGAUCGCACUACCAUUUUGUGUGGUUCGCAUAAGAGAGAUUCAAAGAGGUGAAAAUUGCCAUGGUUCAAACUGCACGGUCCGCAGCCAUAUUUGUGCAGACCGCAUUAGAGAACUCUACGACCGAGGUCCAUUCUACGCGGUCUGCAGAGCCCAAGUUCAGAAAGCCAUGAUUUGAAGUCUAAGAGCCUAGUGCGGCCGUGAUCCAUUUUAUGCAGCCCACACUGACCCCCCCAUAGGUAUUUUUGUCCAGUUUUUCCAGCUUACACUACACUUUGUGUGAUCCGCAUUAAGGGAUUCAGAAAGCUAGCAAAAUGAGCUUCAAGACAGUGCCGCCGCAUUCAAUCUUGCGCAGUCUGCACUGAAGGUUCUGUGGCCGCACUACCAUUCUGUGCGAUCCACGGAAGAGGGAUUCAGAGAAGUGUAAUUUACAAGAAUCACGCCAGCACGGCCCGCGGUCGUGCUUAUGCGGAUCGUAUUGAAGACCUCCGCGGCCGCUGUCCAUUUUGCGCGGUCCGCGGAGUUGAAGUUCGUAGAUACAAGAAUUAAAGUCCAAGAGCCUAGUGUCGCCGCGGUCCAUUUUAUGUGGCCCGCACUGACCCUUCCGGGGUAUUUUUGUUCAAUUAUUUAAGCUUAGAAUAAAUAAAUUAUUUUUCCAUUUUUAGGUCAUCUAUUAGUUCUAGAACACAAUUGCACUCUUGAGAAGCUAGUUUUUAGCCAUUUUUGGUAUCUGAACGUAGAAUUAACGAUAAAUACUUUGUAUUUUCUUUAGUAAAUAUCUUGUUCUUCAUCUAUUUCUCUAUUGUCUUGUUCAAACAUGAUAGCUAAACCCACUAGCUAGGGUUGUGGCUCAACCCUAGUAUGGGUAAUUGGUGGGUGUUGUGAUUUAGGGAUAGAUUGACUAUUGAUGUUUGUAUUUGGGUCAAUUUUAUGGUUUAAUCUAUGAAUUAGUGGUUGCAAAAAAUGGUUUGUGCUAAGUGGAUUUGGAUCUUCUUGAGAAAGAGAGCCUAACUCUCCAAAUUUGAUCCAACAAGAAAUUGGGAUGGACUCAUGAGAAAUGAUAGUCUCAAUUAAAGGGUUAAACCUCGAGAGAGUGAUUACCCGACUUGAACCCUAGUUGCUUGAGCUAAGUUGCCUAUCCAUUUGGUAUCGAGAGAGUCAAUUGGGAAAAUUUGUGCGAUGGUUAUAAAUAUUUCCCCAAUCAUGUCAAUCGAGCCUUAGAAGCAAUUACCCGUCGAUUACCCACAUAGGUGAAGGUCACUGCCCUAGUGCCCCUUUACCCAUUUGAUACAACUCUUACCAAUUAUCUCACAGUAUAAUCUAGUUUCAAUUAGUACUUUUAUAAUAGUAGUUUAUAUUUGAAAAGCCCAAAAAUGUAUGGAAGUGACAUUUGGAACAAUUACACAACUCUAGACUAGAUAGAUACAUCAACUCGCUUCCUAGCUCCCUGAGGAAUUCUAUCCCGACCCUCAUAUCGGGUAAAAUCUAUUGUGACCCUCUCUUUCUACUUUGUAGUAGUGUGGAGUUGGCAGCAAUCACUUUUGGUGCCAUUUUCGGGGAGCUAACGGUUUUGACUAUCUAUUUAGUUAGUUUUGUAUUUUAUUUCUCUUUCUUUCUUUGUUACUUGUUUGUGAUAUUACUCAGGUACCAACAUGGCUUUAAACAACGCUAAUGACCCUUUUGGAAACGUGAGAGUGCGGGAGGAGGUAGAUGAUCUUGCGCAAGAGGAGGUGCCUCUUGCACCUUAUGGACAACGGAGAGGCCGAAAUGCCAAUGCAAAUGCUAUUCCAAAUGGUAAUAUUCCUGACCCUCCUCCGCCACCUCCAAGAUUGGCUCCCAAAGUAUUGCCAAGUCAAGGAUAUGCAAGUGCCAUUGUUCCUCCUCAAAUCCGGGCAGGGAACUUUCAAAUAACAAAUGUCAUGUUGACCUUGCUCGAGCAACGAGGGCAUUUUACGUGCGCUGCUGAUCAAAAUGGCUACAAGCAUCUAAAGGGGUUUGUAGAUACAUGUUCGGGGAGCAAGCAGACGAAUGUAUCCAAGGAUGCACUGAGAUUGGGACUUUUCCUGUUCUCACUUUGGUGAAAGGCACUAGAUUGGCUCGAGAGACUUCCUAACCAUUCCAUCAAAAUGUGGGAUGAGUUGGCGGAUAAAUUUAUUGCCACGUUCUUCUCACCAAGUCAUAUGGCGGCAUUUCGGGAUGAAAUAUUAGCCUUCAAGCAAAAGACAAUGGAACCUUUGCAUGAGAUAUGGGAGCGAUAUCGGACUAUGGUGAAAAAGUGCCCGAAUAACGAUAUGACCGAGGUGAUGAUUCAAUAAACCUUUUAUCGGGGCAUCAACAUCAUGAAUCCAUGCAUUGUGAACCAAUUGGCCGGGAGCAAUUUUAUGAAACUUUUUUACAAUGAGGCAUGUGAUGUACUUGAUGAUAUGGCCUACACUUGUUUGGUAUGGCAAAGUAGAGAAAAUGUGCCCCAAGGUGACCCCACGAUCAUCCAUUUGCACAAGGAAUUGCACGAUCAUGGUCAAGAUAUUUCCGAGCUUUUUAUUAGUACGAACAAUUGGCGAAGACGCAAUUGCAACAAGUCCAAAAUCCAUGCAAAGUCAAUGGCAUGGAAGGUGUUUCCAUGCUUAAAAGGAGGCAGAAAGGACAACAAUCUCAAGGGAAUUGUGAGCAAUAUGGCAAUAAUGAUGGUGGUGAUUUUUCAAAUGAGUGUUAUGAUGACCAAAGUGAACAGGUUCAAUAUGUUAACAACUACGAAGGCAGUAUAGGCAACUCUUCAAACCAACAAUGGUGACCCCAAGGGAAUUGGGGAAAUCAACAAGAAGGCGGAGGUAAUUGGAAUAACAACAAUCAACAAUAAGGUGAUAGAAAUUGGAACAACAAAAAUAAAAACAACAAUUGGGGCAAUAAAAAAAACAAUCAACGCAAUUGGAAUGGGAAUUUACAAUAAUUGGAGCAACAACAACAAUCAAGACGGGUGGAAGAACAAUAGAAACCAAUGAAACCAGGGGCAAGACUUUCAAAGGCCCCCAAUGUUCCAAUAACAAGAAAAUCCACCCCGUUUCCCUUCUUAAGGUAUGAGUUCUUUUGGAUAUGAUUUGGGUAGAAUUGAAAUUAUGUUCGAGCAAAUGAUGAAAAAGAACCAAGAUUCCGAUGCUUAAUUGGCUUCUCAUAAUACAUCUAUCUAGAACUUGGAGGUGCAACUUGUCCAAAUUUCUUACGCUUUGAAGACUCCCCCCAAGGGUGCUCUACCAAGUAAUACGGUAGUGAACCUGAAGGGUGGGAACAACAAUCAGUGAUGGUGGUUGCAACAAGAAGUGGGAGAGGUAGUAAUGUGAAUGCCUCGACAGAAAAGAAAGUUGUGGAUGAUGAUGUUGAUUAGUGGGAUGAUGAUGUACCUUUGAUUAUUGAAGGUGUGUUUGAGGAGAAUGUGAACAAUGAUGUGAGGAUUAUAUUGAUGACAUCGAGGUAGAAGCUCAAGAUGCUGUGAACCCAUCUAGGGAAUAAGUGAUUGGCAUGCCUGAGCCGGUUGUGCCAAAAGCCAAGGCACCCUUGCCUAGGCCACCUCCACCUUAUCCUCAAAGGCUCACAAAGCAAGAAAAUGAUAACCAAUUCAAGAAGUUUAUUGAGAUUAUGAAGAGCUUGUCCAUAAAUUUUCCUUUGGUGGAGGCUGUUGAACAAAUACCGGGAUAUGCCAAGUUCAUGAAAGAUAUAGUGACAAAGAAGAGGUUGGUGGAUUGUGAGAUGAUCAAGAUGUCUCACCAAGUGAGUGCUAUAGUGCAUUCCAUGUCACCAAAACUUGAAGACCACGGAGCUUUUACCAUCCGUUGUACUAUCAGAAGUGCGGAUUUUGCCAAUGCUUUAUGUGACUUGGGAGGUAGUAUCAAUUUGAUGCCUUACUCGGUUUUCAAUACUUUGGGCAUUGGGAAACCUAGACCAACUUCGAUGAGACUUCAAAUGGAGAAUCGAUCGUUGAAGAAACCGUUGGGCAUAAUUGAUGUUGUACUUCUCCGGGUCGCCGACUUUGUCAUUUUGGAUUGUGAAGUAGACUAAGAGGUUCUUAUUAUCUUGGGUCAACCAUUCCUUGCAACGGGGAAGGCAUUGGUUGAUGUUGAAGAGGGUGAACUCACUUUUCGAGUGGUUGAUGAAAAGGUCGUCUUCUAUGUUUGUAGAUCCAUGAAGCAACCCAAUAGCACCAAGGUGUGCUCAUUUGUAGUUCUUGUCACAGCCGUGAUUGAGGAUGAUACUAGUUCUAUGAUCAACGUCAAGGAUCCUCUUGAGGUCGUGCUUUUAAAUAUAGGUGUCAAUGAUGAUGCUAUUAGAGUGGAGUGCGUGAAUGCCCUACAUGGGAUGGGCUCUUAUUCUUAUGAGCCGAGGAAAUUGGCUUUGGAUCUUGAAAACAAAACACUCCACCAACAAAGCCAUCAAUUGAAGAGCCACCGGUGUUGGAGUUGAAACCACUUCCUAUACACCUCAGGUACUAAUUCUUGGGCUCUAAUUCAACUUUACCAGUUAUUCUUUCUUCUUUCCUUACUAACAUGCAGGUUGAGGCCACUUUGUAGGUGCUUUAAAAGUGGAAAAGGGCAAUUGGAUGGACUCUAGCUGACAUCCGGGGAAUAAGCCCCGCAUUUUGCAUGCACAAAAUUAUCUUGGAGGAUGAUGUAAAGCCUUCCUUGGAGCAUCAAAGAAGAUUAAAUGAGGCUAUGCAAGAAGUGGUGAAGAAAGAGGUUAUAAAGUUGCUAGACGCCAGUGUGGUCUACUAUUUUUCUGACAGCUCUUGGACUUCUCCGGUGCAAUUUGUAUCAAAGAAGGGUGGUAUGACUCUGGUGACCAAUGAAAAUAUGAACUUAUUCCUACUCGGAUAGCCACCGGAUAGAGAGUAUGUAUGGAUUACCGGAAGCUAAAUAUGGUGACCCGAAAGGACCAUUUCCCACUUCCAUUCCUUGACCAAAUGCUAGAUUUUCUUGCGGGACGUGCUUUUUAUUACUUUUUGGAUGGUUACUCGGGGUACAAUCAAAUUCUAGUUGCCUUGGAGGACCAAGAGAAUACCAGCUUUCCCUGUCCGUAUGGCACAUUUGCUUUCUCUCGAAUGCCGUUCGGAUUGUGUAAUGCUCCGGCGGCCUUCCAACAUUGCAUGAUGGCUAUUUUAACUGACAUGGUGAAAGAUAUGUUGGAGGUUUUCAUGGAUGUUUUCAGUAUGGUUAGGGAUCCCUUUGAAGAGUGUUUGGGUAAUUUGGAUAGAGUAUUGGACCGGUGUGAAGACACGAGUCUUGUUCUCAAUUGGGAAAAAUGCCAUUUCAUGGUUGAAUAGAGUAUAUUGUUGGGUCAAUAAAUCUCAAAGCGAGGAAUUGAAGAGGAUAAAGCCAAGAUAGAGCUAAUUUCGAGACUUCCUCCCGCUACUUUUGUCAAAGGGGUGAGGAGUUUCCUUGGGCACGCGGGUUUUUACCGGAGGUUCAUAAAAUAUUUUUCCAAAGUGGUACACCCUUUGUGCAAGUUGCUAGAAAAGGAUGCAAAGUUUGUGUUCAAUGAGUGUUGUAUGCAAGCAUUCUAGGUUCUCAAGCUCGAGUUGACAUCUACCCCCAUGAUUACUGCACCAAAUUGGAGCUUUCCUUUCGAGCUCAUGUGCGAUGCUAGUGACGUUGUGGUUGGGGCUUUUUGGGCCAAAGUAUCAAUAAGAUGUUUCAUCUGGUGUAUUAUGCAAGCAAGACCAUAAACGAAGCUCAAAGGAACUAUGCAGUCACCAAGAAAGAGUUGUUGCCAAUUGUGUUUGCUAUGGCAAAGUUUCGACCAUACCUUAUGGGGGCCAAAGUUAUAGUGCACACUGAUCAUACCGCCCUUAGGUAUUUAAUGACAAAAAAAGACUCCAAGGCAAGAUUGAUGCGAUGGGUAGUUCUUCUUCAAGAGUUUGGUAUAGAAAUUGUGGACCAAAAAGAUAGUGAGAAUCAAGUGGUGGACCACUUGUCUCGUUUGGAGGAGGAGGGGAGGCCUUGUGACAGCCUUGAGAUCAAUGAUGAAUUUUGCCAUGAAAAACUCCUUGCGGUCUCAAUGCAUGAUUUUUCGUGGUUUACCGAUGUUGCCAAUUAUCUUAUGACUAGAAUAAUCUCGUAUGAGCUCUCUUCUAACCUAAGGAAGAAGCUCAAGCAUCAUAGCUUGGAUUUUUAUUAGGACGAGACAUAUUUUUUCAAGAGUUUACAUAUGGUGUGAUUCAUAGAUGUGUCCCAGAGGAAGAACAAUUGAGUAUCUUAGAGGCUUGUCAUUCCUCUCCCUAUGAUGGCCAUCAUGGCGGGGCGAGGAUGCUUCUAAAAUGCUUAGUUGAAAUUUCUAUUGGCCAACCUUGUUCAAAGAUGCCGGUGAUCUUGUCAAGAGAUGUGAUGAAUGCCAAAGAUGGGUGGAAUUUCAAAAAGGGAUGAGAUGCCUCUAAAUACAAUUCUUGAAGUGGAUAUCUUUAAUUUUUGGGGCAUCGAUUUCAUGUGUCCAUUUGUUAGCUCUUGUGGAACCACUUACAUUCUAGUGGUGUUUGAUUGUGUCUCAAAGUGGGUUGAAGUCGUGGCUAUGCCUAAAAAUGAAGCCCACAGUGUUGUUUCAUUUCUUAAGAAGAGUUUCUUCACAAGGUUUGGCACUCAUCGUACAAAUAUUUGUGAUGGGGGAUCCCACUUUUCUAAUAGGGCUGUUGAUUCGUUGCUUGCCAAAUAUGGAGUUAAUCACAAAAUGUCCACCCCCAAUUAUCCUCAAGCUAGUGGUCAAGUGGAAGUCUCCAGUAGGGAAAUUAAAAGUAUCUUAUCCAAGACGGUCAAUGCUAAUAAGACCGAUUGGUCAAAAAAGUUGGAUGGUGCUUUAUGGGCGCAUCAGAGGGCUUACAAGUCUCUGAUUGGAAUGUCUCCGUACUGGUUGGUAUUAGGGAAAGCUUUCCAUCUUUCAGUUGAAUUGGAGCACAAGGCUAUGUGGGCUUUAAGGAAGUUGAAUUUAGAAUAGGAUGCUGCGGCCAAUCUUCGUGUUGAACAAUUGAAUGAGAUAGAUGAGCUUAGAUUCCAUGCCUACUCCAGAUCGUACUUCUAUAAGGAUAAGAUGAAGUACCAUCACGAUAAAUAUGCUCGGUAAAAGGAGUUCAAGGUUCGAGAUAUGGUUCUUUUGUUCAACUCCCGGUUACGUUUGUUUUGGGGAAAGCUCAAAUCAAAGUGGAAUGGAUCGUUUGAAGUUGUACUUGUGACCCCGUUUGGUGCUAUUGAUCUCAAGAACAGAAAUGGUGGAGUUUUCAGAGUCAAUGGGCAUGGGGUAAAGCAUUAUCUUAGAAAAUUUGAUGACAACCAUGUGGUGGCACUCCUUCAUCAUGUGAUGAGCAUCGUGCCAUGACAUUAAAUCAGGUGCUUCUUGGGAGACAACCCAUGUCUUUUUCUUAUUUUUUUUCGUGGAGUUUCUUUGUAGUUUAGGUCUGAUAUUUGGGCUAAUUGGUUGUGAGAUGUUGCAGGGAUUGUGUUAAAACAGUGCAAAACAUUGAGGAAAAUUGAACAGUCUCUGAAGUUUCCAGUGCGGCCGCACUACACUUUGUGCGGUCCGCACUGGUGUGACCUAAUGUGAGGGCUCUCUGAAGUUAGCCACUACAACUGCAUGCCAUUUUGUACGAACCGCGGUGGAGCUCCGCGGCCGUGGUUCUUUUGUGCGGAGCGGAGGAUUGCUGUCUCAGGUUUGAUUAAGGCUCCCUAGCACAGUUGGUGGUCCAUUUUAUGCGGCCGUGCUGGUAGGUGAGGCUGGGUCCCAUAUGUUCUCUAUAAAUAGACUUUAAGGGUCUCCUAUUACCCUUUUCAAAAAUUUACUCUCAGAGACCUAAAAUCUAUUGUUUAUCCUCUCUUUUCACGUAAAUCCUUGCUUAGAUUGAUUACUUGCAUUCCAUCUCCAUAUCUGGUAUCACUCAUUUUUCUUUGUUUAAUUUUAUAAUUUCAUUUUAUUUUCAUGUCCAUUAGCCGUAGCUUCUUCUUCCCGUAUUUCUUAAAUUUCUAGGUUAGUUUAGCUUAACAUUUAUUUUUUGUGUGGUUGUUGAGUGUAAUGAUAUGGGUAAUUGAGUAGGGAUAUUAGCUAGGUGAAAACUUGAACAAAAUUUCAAAAAUUGGAAACCCUAAGUCAGUGCCUGGACUAAGCACCCUCCGUGGACCGCGUUUGCUUUUGUGCGUUUGCGAUGCUAUUAUGCGGUCCGCAGUAACACUUUGCGCGGACUGCGGUGAGGAUCUUAUGGAAAUUGAAGUCUUGCCCAGUGCGGCUGCGAUGCAACUUUGUGCGAUUUGUAGUGGUCUGAUUCAGAGAGUGUGUUUAAGGAGGCCUACUCCUGUACGGACCACGAUUGCUUUUGGGCGGUCUGUGGUGACCCUAGUGCGCCUGCACUCUUUUUUGUGCGGUCCGCAUUGCCGAAUCUGCAACUGUGCCUGCCACGUUUUGCUUCUAUUUUGCCAUUCAUUAGAUACAUUCGUCUCAUUGUCUUUGUUGAUACUAACAAAGUUAGAUGUUUGUGCUUUCAGAUAAUGGUUAAACAAUGAGGUAAAGACGCAAAACAAACUGGCCGAGGUGAUUCCUCCCGGGGAGGGAAGCAAAGAUUGGUUAAACUCACUCCCCACACAAGACAAAACAGAAAGAACAAGAGAAAAGCAAUCAAACUAGCUGAUAGGGUUUGUGAUCAAUCGGGGAGUGGGUAUGUUCCCUUUUAAGACAUCUCCUCUGACUCAGUUCCAACUCAAUUCAUCUCCAACUUUAGACUGAUUAAUGAUUCUUCUCCACUAUCACCUGCUGCCCAGGUGGCAUAUCAUGUCCCAGCAGAGUUAUCUGAUGGCUCAGGAGCCGACAACGUUGAGUACUCCACCUACCCCACAACUUCAGUGUCUGGGGAGAGUGCAGAUGGAGAUGAGGAUACACAGGAGAGUGGUGAGCCUAAGGUUGGGGUAUUACCCAGACUAGAGAUCCUGCAUUGUGGGAGGAAUGAUUUGUUAGUCAGGCAGCGUUCCAUAAGUUUAGGGAAUGGUGGCCUGUGAGGAAGUUGAUUUUGGAGAAGGGAUUCAUUGAAACAAAAAGCUACAAGCCUAUAUAAGAAGCUAGAACGAAAGUUUUUUGCGGAAAUAGAAAAUAGAAUGAAUAUGUACAAUAGGGGAAUACAUAUACAAUGGGGCAUGAAUAUAUAAAAUAAUGUAACUUUAUAUACAGACCAAAGGAAAGAUAAAAAGUGCUAUAAAAAUAACUAAAUGUAAAGUUAUGCACAGAACAAUAGAAAAUCAAUAAGGCAUAAACUAAAUCAGUAUAUAUACACAAUCAUCCAAGGAUAAAAUAAAGGGAGCACCCCUCAAGUAAAAUCCGAAAUUGUUCCCAAUGCGAAUUAAACAAAUAAGCACCCAAAAAAAAUAAAAGAGAAAGGAUAUGAUGACUCCCUAAGCCAUGUCCGUCUGUAUACGAUCAUCAAUGGUCCCCGAGUCCUCUGUAUGUGCGGGAACCUUAGACCUGUUCCUGGUAUCCUACUGCUCAGCUGCUGGGACUGGGGCCUGGACCUGGACAGGCUUUGACUCAAGUGCAUCUUGUGGCUGACUGGACGAAGCCUCUGGUGGGUCCGCCAACUGGAUAAUGGCAUCAUCUACGCUCGAGAUCAUCCUCAUCCUCUUUGGAGGCCUCUGUGUGUGCUCCCGUUGUGGCUCUGCUGCUAGUACUGCUAUUAGAGCUGGAUCCAGAAAUAGCAUGUCUAAAGGCAGCUGUUCUGCCUUCAUUUUGUCCACAUCCGCUCUCAACUCCAUUACGGACUCCUUAGAGGCCCGUGUCUUGCGCAUCUUCUUAUGCUCAUUAGCAAGCUCCUUUAGAGUGUUUUCAUGUAAAUCCACUACCUUAGCCAAGGCACUUUGAGUACUAAGGAUCUUCUCCUGGUUGGAAAAAUUCUGCUUAACUGUAUCCUGGAUAGACUGGGGUACCUGUAGUGGCUGAGGAGUCGACUGAGCUGCAAUAGUAGCAGUCAAGGUGGACAACUUGGAUGACAUAGUGCACAUCUAGUUGUUCAGGCUCUGAAGCGUCUACCUCAAUCAGUGGGUUGGGAUGGGAUGGUCCCGGGAAGAAGAAAUCUCCAGGCCAUCUGAAGUAGAAGGACCAGGAGGCAAGUCGGUUGUAGUGGAAGGUCCCAGAGGCAAAUCAACAAUGGUGGAGGCAGUCUUAGUACAGGUCUCUACCGCAACUGACUCUUCAGACUGGCCAGUUGAGGCAGAAGUAGGCGCCUUGUAUCUCUUGUCCUUGGGGUUGUCUGGCCCCUUCAAACUAUACCAUGAAAACGGAGCCACAGGUUUGGCCUUGAUGUAAAAAGAUCUCUUCUCCACCUUCAAUCUCUGAAGUACAUGGUCAGGGUUUUGGGGAAAGGGUAGUUCCUAUCAGCCUCAGUACCAACAACACCUUUUUGUUUCAAACCUUAAUCACUUUGGUUCCCUUCAAGAUGUGGGCUAGAUUGCUAUAAAAUUCCUUGACCAUGUGUUCGUUGUCAUUCACACAAUUAUCCAAGAAGGGCUCCCACCCCACUCGAGUACAGAAUUGUCAAUGCACAUUGGGGUUUAGGGGUAGAUUUCUAAUAAGACUUUGAUUUUCUUAAUGUCAAUAUUCUUUCUAAAGGUGGAGUAUUGUGUGAACCGGGUGGAUCUUCCCAAUGAUAGAUAACGUGACAACCUUCUUAAGGGUUUGAGUCUAGUUUUGUUAAUGUUUUUGAUAGUUUGUAGUUAAGGGUACCUCAAGCAAAGCUUCACGUGGGUGUAGAACAUUUGCCGUUGAUCCCAUGGUCAAAGACAAAAUAUUGUGUUUAGGAUGGUGAAAGUCAUAACCUUGAGACUCUCGUGUUGACUGACAAUCAUCAAAAUGGUUUUUCGGACCAUUGUGUGCUUGAAUCAUAACUAAGGUCAUUUUGGGCCCUCGAUUCAAUGUCUUUAAUAAUCCCCUAGCAUGUGUGGUGAGUAAUUGAAUUACGAGUCCAAGUCCCAUGCCAAUGAUCUAGAACAUGCCCUUAAUGUUUGUUCAGGCAAAAUCUUAUUGAAUUUUGACUUGAAAAGUAAUUAUAGGCCUCCUUGAUCAACAUGAUAGUUCAAAUAAUUCCAAAGCCUACCAUUGAUAAGAUUCCUAGUCAAUCCUUUUGAGCCUUAAACCUUUUUCUUUAAAGAACCAUGAUACAAUCCUAUACCCGUUCUCAAAGAUAGCCUCUGUUGGCACCCAAAUCCUUCCUUUUGCACAUGACAAAAACAAUUAAGUUGGGGGGAGAGACAAGGAUUGUAACAAAGUGGUAAAAAGCACAAAAAUAAAUAAAAGGAAAGUCAUUAAAAAAUAAAGAAAAGCAAAAAGCUCAAUGUGAAAAUAACUUCAAAGGGAUUUGAGAAAAGAAAGAAAAGAAAGAAGUGGAAAGUUGAAAACGGAGAAAUGAUUUAAAAUGCAUGAGAAAGAGUGACAAUGUGUCUCUCUAUCCCUUUAGAAAGAAGUGAAUGACUCAAAGAGUCAAGAGAAUUAUGCCAAAUUAAUCAAAAGAAGUGCUUAAGGGAAGAUUGAACCCACUUGAACAAAAAUAUGUCCUACUCUAACCCGAAAACAUGCACAAUGACUCCACAAAAUCCCUAUAUGAUCUUAUGUUGAAUGAGGCUUACAUUAGUGGAUACUUACAUAAGGGGCAAGCAUAUGGUACUUAGAGCCGGACUUGUGACCUUUUCUUGAGUGAUAUAAGUGAAAUCCCAUUAACCUCAGUUUGUGUGCCAAUACUCUAAAAGGUGAGGUUUGCUUAGGGAGAGUUGAGUAUGGCGUGAGUUUUUGUUCCACAAUGACAAAAGUAAUUGAGAUAGUUCCUUGAUGUAAUGAGUCAACUCUUGAUUCUCGUAUGUCACACUUGAUCCAUAGUUUUCAAAGUUUAAAUGUUGUUAAUGAUGCAUUCGUAUUGAGGACAAUUGUUAGUCUCAAUUGAUGCUUGUUGAGGUUACUUUAGGACCACUGAAAAUACUUGGAUUUUUCCUUAUGGGGUGGAUCUUAUUUUUUUUGCUUGAGGACAAGCAAAAGCUUAAGUUUGGGGGAGUUGAUAGCUGGGGAUUUUGACGUGGUUUAUGAUCCUUCUUGCUUAUGCUUUUGCUAUAAAUUAUUACAAAAUAGUCCCAACAGGCUCAUAAGUGUGCUUGAUUGCAUGUUUGAUCGACAAAGUGACGAGAUGACAAAGAUCGUCUCAAAAGGAGUUAAACCUGCUCAAGUAACAAAGACACGACAAACUAAGGGAAAACAGGCCUAGUGUGGCCGCAAUACACUUUGUGCGGUCCACACUAGGGGAUUCAGAGAGCUGGAAAAAUGAGCUUGAAAGUAGUGCGGCUGCAUAUCUUGCACGGUCUGCACUGAAGGUUCCGCGACUGAACUAUCAUUCUGUGUGGUCCACGGAAGAGGGAUUCAGAGAAGUAUAAUUUACAAGAAUCAAGCCAGCACGGUCCGCGGCCGUGUUUAUGCGGACGGCAUUGAAGACCUCCGCGAUCGAUGUCCAUUCUGUGUGGUCCACGGAGUCCAAGUUCAGAGAGCCAAGAAUUAAAAUCCAAAAGCUUAGUGCAGCCGUGGUCCAUUUUAUAUGGCCCGCACUGCCCGCAAAGGUAUAUUUGUUUAGUUUUUCAAGCUUAAUAUAAAUAGAAUAUUUUUCCAUUUUAGGUCAUUUGUUAGUUCCAGAAUACAGCUGCACUCACGAGAAGCCAGUUUGUAGCCAGUUUUGGCAUCAGAAUGUAGAAUCAACUACAAAUACUUUGUAUUUUAUUUAGUAUUUAAUUAAAAUGUCUUGUUCUUCAUCUAUUUCAAAAUAUUCUUGUUUAAGCAUGAGUAGCUAAAUCCAUUACCUAUGGUUAUGGCUCAACCCUAGUGUGGGUAAUUGAUGAGUGUUGUGAUUUAGGGUUAGAUUUACUAUGGAUAUUUGUAUUUGGGUCAAUCUUAUGGUUUAAUUAAUGAAUUAGUGGUUUCAAAUACUAGUUUGUACUAAGUGGAUUUGGAUCUUCUUGAGAAAGAGAGCCUAAGUCUUCAAAAUUAACCCAACAAGGAAUUGUGAUGGACUCAUGACAAAUGAUAGUCCUAAUUAAAGGUUAAACCUCGAGAGAGUAAUUACCCGACUUGAAACGUAGUUGCUUGAGCUAAUUUGCCUACCCAUUUGGUCUCGAGAGAGUCACUUGGAAAAAAUCACUCUCUCCACCGAGAGGUGUAAAAGUGGGUAAAAUUGUGCAACAGUUAUACAUAUUUCCCUAAUAAUGUCAAUCGAGCCUUAGAAGCAAUUACCCAUCGAUUACCCACCUAGGUGAAGGUCACUACCCGAGUGCCCCUUUACCCAUUAGAUACAACUCUUUAAAAUUACCUUGUAGCAUAAUCUAGUUUCAAUUAGUGGUUUGAUAAUAGUAGUUUAUAAUUGAAAAACCCAAAAAUGUAUGUAAUUGACAUUUGGAGCAAUUACACAACUAUAGACUAGAUAGAUACAUCAACUCCCUUCCUAGCUCCUUGAGGAAUUCGAUCCCGACCCUUAUAUCGGGUAAAAUCUAUUGUGAUCCUCUCUUACUACUUUAUAUUAGUGUGGAGUUGGCAGUGAUUAGGCUCCUGAUUACCAAUAUUUUCACUAUUUUUCCUCAAACAUGAACUGCUUCCCUUUGUUCUCUAGGUGGGCUCCUGAUUACCAACAUUUGAAUUCCUUUUCCUUUGUUCUCGAGGUGGGCUCCUGAUUACCUCCAUUUGCAUUGUUUUUCCUCAAAACUUGAACUGCUUCUCUUUGUUCUCCAGGUGGGCUCCCGAUUACCAAUAUUUGAAUUGCUUUCCCUUUGUUCUCCAGGUGGGCUCCUGAUUACCAACACUUGAAUUGAUUUUCCCGUUGUUCUCUAGGUGGGCUCCUGAUUACUGACACUUGAAUUGCUUUCCUUUCCUCUAAAACUUGAAUUGUUUUCCCUUUGUUCUCUAGGUGGGUGCCCGAUUGCAAAAAUAUUGAUUUCUUUUCCUCGAAAAUUGAUUCUUUCCUUUGUCCUUCAGGUUGGCUCCUGAUUGCUGAACUUGAACUAUUUCCUCCUGUGACUGCUUUUCCUUUGAACUGGUUUUCCUUGUUACUCCAGGUGGGUGCCUUCUUUCUUAAACCUGUAUUGCUUCCUAUUCUUGAAACUCGUGUUGUUCUCCUUUGCUCUCCAGAUGGGUGCUUGAUUGCUUGAACCUAAAUUAUCUUUUUCUUGAAACUACUUUUCCUUUGAACUAUCCUCUCUUGUUUCUCCAGGUGGGUGUCUAAUUACUUGAACCUGAACUACUUCCAUUCUUGAAACUCGUGUUGUCUUCCCUUGUUCUCCAGGUGGGUGCUUGAUUUUAUCAAAACAGACAAAACAAACGGAAUUUUUCUGCCCCAGUUUGGUAGCUGGGCGCAUCUGUGAGUGUUAAUUGAAUCAUGUUACCCAAUAUAUCUAAGAAUUAAAAAACUAGAUCCCAUUAUCUAGUAGGGUCCUGAAAACUCCUAGUUUACCGACAAUUUUAAGCUAAAUCAUAUUUCCUAAAGGUAUGAAUUCUGCUAAAUCUUGUAAUCUGUGAAGAUCUUAAAACUUAAUAUUAUCCAUGAGGAUCCUGAAAAUUUCCAAUUGAGUCUUAUCCCAAGAAUGAAAACUUCCAAACCCACUUAUAUUUUCUCAAAGUAGAGCAUAUGCUAGAUCCUUUUAUUCAUGAAUGUUUUGAAUUUUAAAUAAGUCCCAUUCUUCAAGAGGGUCCUGAGAAUUUACGAUCGAACCUGUUCAGUUCUUGCUUUCCUUACAGAGGGUUUCUUUGAAACAAACGAAAUUUUCUUCCCCUAUUUCAAUCAAAGAAAAAUCUUGUCAGUUUAAAAAUGUGGUGGUUAGUUCGCGGAAUUCUUGCUGAAGGUGGCCUUUUGCCGCCAUGCUUUGCUUUCGCUGGAUGAUUUGAACUGGCCAAGAACUGUUUGCCUUUCCAUCUUAAUUUUAACCCACAAGACCUUGAAUGACCUGAAUGGUUUACACCCAAACCCGUUGCUUUACAUUUCUAUCCUUCCAAUUUGAACCUCCGUGUCCUCCACAAAAUUCACAAACCACUCGAUCGCUUGAAAUUUCAUUAACACCUUAUUUCCACUUUUGCAUCCUACUGUUUUUGGUAUGCUUUGGCCGCACUUUGUUUUGUGCGAUUUUGAAAGUUGGUAGUAAGCUUUGAAAUCCUUUCUUACUUUCUUAAACAAAGCUGAUAUCUUAAAAACCACAAUAAAAUGAACCCAAAAGAAAUGAAAUGCAAUGACUUUGAGAGUUAGGAAUAAAAAUAGAAAAAUCCAAAAACUGGAUGACUGUUUGAGGGAGAAAAGGGAAAGAGAUUUAUCUGAGUGAAACAGCUGGCACCUAUGAUCAUUACAUGCAUCUCGGAUUAAUCACCCCAACCUAUUCAACCAAUCACUUGUCAAUUGACAUACAUUGUGCCCCAGAAUCUCUAUAACCCAAUUUCUUUGCCAAAUCACUGACAUGUUCGGCCUGCACCAACAAAUCUCUAUCAUUUGUUCAUAUCUCAACUUACCUUUGCCUUACUGUGCCCGUGAGGGUUUUCACCAAUAAGACUCUCUCAUUUUUAAAUUUCUCUCAGCUUUCCAUUGCCUUACGGUGCCCGUGAGGGUUUUUACAAAUAAGACUCUCUUACUUUUCAUUUCCCUGCUCCGAAUGGAGUAUUGUCAUUGAUAAAAAUCACCUCUGCUUGCUUGAAUUGGAAUAUAUCGAAGACUAAUCGGAAGGUCUUUCUUUAGACCAUAAUGUGGGAUUUUGGAUAAGGUUAGAAAUAAAGGAUAUCAAAAGGCUCAAAACAAUUUGAAAGGAUUUAAAAUUACAACUUUUGGAAUCAUAUUUCUUCCCACAACCAUAACUUUCUUCCCCAUAUUCUUUGCUUGGGGAAUUUUGGAUUUUUAUUUUGAUGGGACCGAACCGUAAGGAUGCCUACGUAUCCUAAGAAUGAAUCAGGUCGAACAGAGUUCAUGUCAUAGGAAUUACUUUGUUGUUGUGAUUUUUCUCUUUUCUUUUUCUUUCUCUCUUUUUCCAUUUCUUUUAUUUUCUUCUCUUAUUUUUCUUUUAUUUUCUUUUUCUUUCUCUUUUUUUCUCACUCUUUUCCAUUCUUUUCUUUCUCUUUUCUCUCUUAUUUUCUAUUUUUCUUGUUUACUCACCUUUUGAGAUCGUGUUUCUGAACUUUGCUAUUGAUUCCAAAAGAAGGGUAUGAAAGGAAAUAAAUAAGGCUCAAAGGAAUAAAAAAGGAUAAAGCGUUUAGAUAUUAGAAUGAAAUGCCUUCGUCAUUCCAAUCUUCAAAACAUUCCAAGUACAAACAAACACAAUUUAAACCGAAGAGAUCAUACAUAAUAUCUUUUGACUGCAUGAGAAUUGAUAGUCAUAUCUACACAUUUUAAUUCUAUAUCUUUCAAAUACAAAGCACCAUUAGAGCACUCUCAUUACGAUGAACAGACCUUGCCAAUUUGGGGCAAACUUGCCUUUCGCUUCAGCCUGAUGUCCAAGCAUGUAUUUCAAUACUUGCUGACCCACUUAAAAUUUCUGUGGACUUACCUUGUUGUUGUAUUCUCUUGCUAUUCUCUUUUGAUACAACUGGCCAUGACACACUACUACCAAUAUUUUCUCAUCACUAAAACUCAAUUGCUCCAAACGGGUUUUGACCCACUCAUCAUCAUCAAUUUCAGCCUCUGCAACAAUCCGAAGGGAUGGAAUUUCAACCUCCACGGCUAUCACUGCUUCAGUGCCAUAUUCCAACAAAUAAGGAGUUACACCUACUGAAGUGCGAACAGUAGUGAGAUAACCUAGAAAAGCAAAUGGCAACUUCUCAUGCCAUUGCCUGGAACCUUGCACCAUUUUUUGAAGUAUCUUCUUUAUGUUCUUGUGUGCUACCUCGAUUGCUCCAUUUGCCUUGGGGCGGUAUGGGGUGGAAUAACGAUGUGUAAUCUAAAACUCUUGACACACUUCUUUCAUUAGAUAAUUGUUAAGAUUAGCACCAUUAUCCAUGAUAAUCACCUCAGGGAUUCCGAACAAUGAUAUUUGAACGAACAAAAUCGACCACUGCCUUCUUGGUUAUAGAUUUGAAAGUUUUAUCUUCAACCUACUUAGUGAAAUAGUCAAUAGCCACUAGAAUGAACCUGUGUCCAUUGGAUGCUGCUAGCUCAAUUGGUCCGAUGACAUCCAUACCCCAAGCAAUAAAAGGGCCAUGGUGCAUAUAUUAUGUGUAAUUCAUAGGAAAGAGAAUGAAUCAAAUUUCCGUGUAUUUGACAUUGAUGACACAUGCACACAAAACUGAUACAAUCUCGCUCCAUGGUGAGCCAAUAAUAACCUAGUCAGAGAAUUUUCUUGGCCAGAACAUACCCACUCUUUUACGGUCCACAGACUUUGGAAUGUACUUCGGUCUUGAUAUCCGUGGCCUGUCCAACAUCUAUGCAUCUUAACAAUCUAAGAUCUGGAGUUCUUUUGUACAAACUCCUCCACUAAAGAAAGAUCCACUUGCCAAACGACGAAUUGUUCUCUUUUGCUCACCUGUGGCUUGUACUGGAUACACCCCCAUCCUGAUAUACUCCUUGAUGUCAUGAAACCAUGGUUCACCAUCAAGUUCUUCUUCAAACACAUUACAUGACGAUGACGAACUUGAAUAUGCAGAGGGUCAACAUAAGCUUUGUCCGGAUGGUGCAACAUCGACACCAAGGUAGCCAAAGCAUCGACAACCUCAUUAUGGAUCCUUGGAAUGUGCUUGAAUUUUAUUGAUCAAAACCAUUGACAAAGAUCAUGCAGACAUUGUUGGUACUGUAUAAGCUUUAAAUCCUGUGUCUCCCAUUCUCCUUGAAUCUGGUGCAUCAGGAGGUCCGAGUCCCCCAAGACCAAGACUUCUUGAAUUCCCAUAUCUACAGCUAUCCUUAGUCCCAGAAUGCAUGCCUUGUACUCAGAAAUGUUGUUGGUACAAUACAAUCGCAGUUGGGCUGUAACAAGAUAGUGAGGCUCUAUUUCAGAAAUAAGCACUGCCCUUAUCCUAACACCUUUCAUGUUAGCAGCUCCAUCAAAGAAAAGUUUCCAACUUGGUUUUUCAACCGGCUCCACCUUGUCAAUGCGCAUCACCUCUUCAUAAGGAAAGUAAGUUCUCAAAGGUUCAUAUUCUUCGUCCACCGGGUUCUCGGCAAAAUGAUCGGCUAAUUCUUGGGCUUUCAUCGCUGUCCCAGUCACAUAUACGAUGUCAAACUCUGUGAACAAGAUCUGCCACUUUUCGAGCCUCACUGUGGGCAUGCGCUUCUGAAAAAUAUACUUCAUAGGAUCUAGGUAAGUUGUGUAGGAUGGCAAAUAAUGAUUCAACUUCUAUACUACCCAAGUCAGGGCGCAACAUAUCCUUUCAAGUGGAGUAUACUUAACCUCAUAAGAUGUGAACUUCUUGCUGAGAUAGUAGAUGACUUGUGCUUUCCUUCUAGUGAUUUCAUGUUUUACCAACAAACAACCAAACGAAUUAUCCAAGACUGUCAAAUACAGAAUCAAAAGUCUCCCAUGUUCUGGUGGGACUAGCACAUGUGGGUUUGAUAAAUACUCUUUGAUCCUAUCGAAUGCUUCUUGUCACUCAUAAUUCCAUUUACCCGCAACAUCCUUCUUCAGUAGCUUAAAGAUAGGCUCACAAGUUGUCGUAAGCUGAGCGAUAAACCUGCUGAUGUAGUUCUGCCUCCCUAGCAAAGUCAUCACCUCGGUCUUAUUCUUUGGCGGUGUCAUUUCCUGAAUGGCUUUGAUCUUUGAUGGAUCAAAUUCAAUUCCCUGCCAAUAGACUAUGAAUCCCAAAUAUUUCCCCAAUGGAAUACCAAAUGGGCACUUUGCAGGGUUGCGCUUAAGAUUGUACCUGUGGAUCCUUUGGAAAAAAUUUCUCAAAUCUUUGACGUGGUCAGACUAUUUUCUGGACUUUAUGAUCAGAUCAUCCACGUAAAUCUCCAUCUCCUUGUGUAUCAUGUCAUGGAAUAUGGUAUUCAUUGCCCUCUUGUAAGUUGCCCCAACAUUUUUCAAACCAAACGGAAUGACCCGGUAGCAGUAUAUUCCCUAUGGCGCGAUGAAUGCCGUAUUUUUCGCAUCUUCCUCAUCUAUUAAAAUAUGAUGAUACCUCGUAUAGAAAUCCACAUAUGACCCAAUCUCAUGCUUGGCACAAUUAUCAAUCAAAAUGUGGAUAUUCGGCAAUGGAAAGUUGUCCUUUGGAUUUGCAUUGUUGAGAUCACGGUAAUCAACACACACUAUGGUCUUACCAUCCUUCUUUGGCACAUGCACAACAUUGGCCAACCACAUGGGAUACCGCCUGGCCCGAAUGACCUUUGCGUCUAGCUACUUUAUGACCUCUUCUUUAAUCCUCACACUCAUGUCAGUUUUGAAUUUUCUCACUUCUGCUUGACGAGAGGGAAUUCUGGACAAUUGGCAAUUUAUGGACCACCAAAUCGGUACUUAAGCCUGGCAUGUCAUCAUACGACCAUGCAAAACUAUCCUUAUACUCAAACAAUGCUAUAAUUAUUUUUUCCCUGAUUUGUGGUUCAAGAUGGUCACUUAUCUUAGUUUUUCUGACAAUAUCUGGGCCCCCUAGAUUGAUUGCUUCGGUUUCAUUCAGAUUGGGCUUGGGUUUUUCUUCAAAAUGACUUAGUUCCGUAUAUAUCUCUUUAAAGGCUUCAUCCCCAUUAUAUUCUGAUUCAUCAUUACACUAUAUUUUCUGAAUUACUAUUUCAGAAUUAGAUUAACUUUUAAGACUAGGCCAAAAAUUCCUCAUGUAUGUCAUGUCAUUAAAACAAACAUAAAAAAUUAUGCAAAGAAGAAAAGAAAAACGAAAAUAAGUGCUAUCAGGAAUGAUGGAAAAGGGAAAUUGCAUUUCAUUAAAAUUAAAAGAUAACAGAGCUUAUACAUCAACAAGCGGAAAAUAAAAAAAAACUAGGUCACCACCCUGGAAUGAUCCAGAUAGAAGGGAAAACGAAACAAACUACCAAGACUCCUUCUUGGUAGGGAGAGGAGUAGCCUUCCAAUUGUUAAGCUUUGCGUUCGGGCCGACGAACUGCACGUACACUUUACUAGAACCUUCUCCAACUUCCACCAUGUUUACAUAAUCAAACAACCUCUAGAACCUUUCUGUUAACUCCUCAUCAAUGUCAACCAUAGAAUGUGGAAAUGUCGUCACUGGGCGUUUCCUGGCACCGGGCUUGACAAAAGACCUAGAGAAACAUGGAAAGGCUUUGAAAGUGCCCACGCCUUAUGUUUCAACCUUUUAGCCCUUUUCACAUUUGCUACUGUAGGUUGAAUCCAAGACCGAACGUACCCAAAUUUUCAGGGAGGGACAUUAACUGUAUGAUACCCUGCAGAGAUGUACCCAGACCUUUACCAGGCACAAAGCCAUUUUUCAGCAUUUCAAAGGCCAUCAUAACUAAUGUGGGGGUUAUCUUUUGAGUUGGAACACAUUUCCCCUCUAUACCUUCUCGAUCGGCACUAUUUCAAAAACUUCGUAGACCCAAGGCCCUUUGUCAUCUUCAGCUUCAAUAAACGAAACAGAGGCAUCGCUAUGGACACACAAAUUAUCCUCUCCAUGCACGACAAUCUCUUGUCUAUCCCAUUCGAACUUGACCAUCUGGUGCAGAGCGGACGGGACUGCUUUGGUGGCAUGAAUCUAAGGUCGACCCAAUAACAAAUUAUAAGAGAUGACUACAUCCAGUACUUGGAACUCCAUGGUGAUUUCCACUGGUCUUAUUGUCAACUCAAGCACUAUAUUACUAGCUGAAUCUUUCCCUCCACCGUCAAAGCACCGACGCAGAUACUGUUCAUUGAAUCCUCUCAUUAUCGACUUUCAACUUGUCCAGAGUAGAGAGGGUAGAUGUUUGAACUGGAACCAUUGUCAACUAAUACCCUGGUAACCACAUAAUAUUCACAUUUACCGUAAGAUAGAGAGCUCUGUUGUGUUAAGUACCUUCCACAUGUGACUCAUUAUUAGAGAAGGUGACCCUGUUCACCUCAAGUAUUUUAUUGGAAAUCUUUUCCAGAUGAUUCACUAAAAUUUUGUCGGGGACAUGUUCUUUAUUCAGUAUCUUCAUCAGGGCACGACGAUCAGUCGAUCUCUUCAUGGGCCUAUGUGCCAUAUCUUCUUGAAGGCGAAAUAGGUCAUACAUGAUUUAUCAGCCAAAAAUUAUAAUGAAAGUGAAGAACGUAGACCUGGUCAUGUCAUCACACUCGUUGCACUUCAUCACAAUGUAGUGCGCAAUGCUCCUAACCCUUUCUCUGAUACCAUUCUCUUGUAGCAACUUUCUGAUCUGCUGAGACCUGGCCCCUAAAACUUGUUCAACUACAUGAUUUUGCUCUUGAAGCUGCUGCAAGUCUUUUUCUAGCUGCUACAUCGGUACAUAGCAGUGUUCCAUCUCUCCUUUGAAGUUCUUUGUUUGUUUAUCCAUCUCGUUCUCGAAGGUAGUUAGUUUCUUCUUCAGGUUGGUGGCUUCUCCCUCAUAUUUCCUUUUUAUUUGCCGGACAAACUCUGCUCGUCCCUCGACGUUCUUCGCUAACUAUGCCCGGGCUCUCGCCAAAUUACCCUUGGAUUUUUUCAAAUCAUCCUCACACUCAGCUAUUUUCCUGUUAAGACCACUUAUGAGUCUUUCAGCCUUUCGUCUCCUUUCUUGAUUCUCGACAACUAUUUUUAUUUUUAGGAUCUGUGCUCGAAAGGCCUUGUAUUCUUGAGCCAAUUUCGUCUUCUCCCCUUUAUCGACAACGAACUGUAUACUUUUGUCAAAUUUAAGAUCCUGAAUCUGUCCGUCCAAUUUGGUUAUGGUGGCUUUGUAGCAUGUCUCUUUUGCCAACCAAUCCCAUUUCUUCUGCACUCCAUCAUUGAAAUUUUGGAAAUGGAGCUUUUUUGCUAGCCGUUUGGGCUCUACAUGGGCUUGGGACCUUUUACCGUAACAAGUUGUGUAACUUGGCUCCAACGCACCUCUAGACAGAUCUCGUACCUGAGUCUUUGGCUCUAAGAACCUAUAUUGACGCCAAAUCCAAUGCACCCUUUCUUCCGGGAAAGUAGCUUUUGGUUCCAGUUCGAUAACAUGCCGACUUAAAUCUUCAUCAUGUGGAAUAGUCUGAUACCUACCUAAAUAGCAUAGAACUCUAUGCGGGGCAUAACGAUGAAUGCUCUGGAGACCCAUCAGUAGAAGAAAACACACCUCGACUGACUUAUAAUUGACUUCACUGACCGAGAGCCACCCAAAUGUCCAUUCAACCUUGUUUGCUGUCAGGGAGCUCAAAUGUGCAAACCAUGCUUGCGUACCAUCCAGAAACUCAUAGCGUUCCACUCGUUGUUCAUGUUUUUAAUGCAUUUAUGACCGGUCAUGCCAUAGUUCAUGUACCUCGGACGGUGGCAAAGAUGUUCCUCCAUCCAGAGUUGUAGAAGCAUAUUGCAUCCUUCAAAAAACGUUCCUCCUUCUCGGCAAACAAUUAGAGCUCGGUAAAUCUCUGCGAAGAUCAUCGGUACAACGGUGCCAUUUGCCUUUUUAGUCAUGAAGUGGGCUAUUCCCACAAGCCACAAUUCUAUGUUUCCAUUCUUUCUUGGGAAAAUUAAAACACUAAGAAAUGCCACAAUAAAAACUAGCCCCGUGAGCUUCCCACUUGUCUUUGCUCUUUGAAUAACUAAGACCAUUAUCUCGAAUCUCAAAAUCACGAGGAUUCCAGUAACGAUGGUACAAGAAGUAGAAUGUGCAAAAUCCCUUAUCCAAAUUUCUGUCUUAAACUUCCCGACUGAUGCUUACAAGAUCCAGAAACUUAUGGGGAGUCACUGUUCUAGGUGCCAUCGGGUAUUGAUUUCUGAGAUAUCCAUUAAAACCAACGUAGCUCGCUAUUUCCUCAAGUGUAGGAGUUGGCUAAAAAUCAGCAAAAUGGAACACAUUAUGUGCUGGGUCCCAGAAGGGUAUCAAAGCCUCAAUUAUAUCAUUCCUCGGCAUAAUCUUCAAAAGCCCAACAAGACCACCCAAAUCUUUUAUCACAGUAUCUCGGUUGAGUUCCCCCAAAUCAUUCCACCACAUAUGUCGUUCUAACGGGAUUUCCUUGAGGACCGUGAAAGGUUCAUUUUCGAUCGUGCUCAUCCUGCAUAUUUAUUUAAAGUGAUUGACUAAAAUACCGUGAUUUACUUUGACUCAAGACAAAAAACCAUUUUUGACAAAAUUUAGAACAAAAACAUUCUUGCGAAUACAGCCCUUCAGCGCCGCAAGAAAGAAAAUUUUUAGGGUUGAUUUUGUUAAUCAACCAAAAUUAUUGAAAAAUAACCCUAGGUGGCUACUCUUGCAAAACUAGCCUUCUGACGCCUUUUUGGGACAUUUUGGCUAUUUUGGACAAGAACAUCGUCACCUAAUUUAUGUAUGACAAAAUAGCGAUAGUUCAUAUUUUUUGGGUUAUUUUUUCAAAAUAAUUUGGACCCAAUGAGGGUUGCCUACAUAUCCCACAUCCGGUGAGAAUCAAACUUGCGUAGUUCGUUCAAAUUUGAUGCAACAGAAAACACAUAAUUUUGAGAUAGAUUUUUUUUCCCUUUUUUAUGCGAAAAUUUCCGCACAGUUUCGAGUUAUUUUUGGCGCUAGAUUUUUCACAAGCGGGUAAUUUCCUCUCACUCAUCUCAAUUUGGUUUUUCUCAAUUUUUCUUCCAUAUUCUAGAAGUCGGUCAACAUGUAAUCCAAGUCAAAUAAAUCCGUAAGUAGCAAAUAAAAUGCAUCAGGAUGAUCUUUUGAUUUUGGGUGCACCUGUCCUAGACGGACCCAAACCCUAUGUUGAGUCCCCAAAGUCAAAAAAGCACAUGAUGCAAACAAACAUUCUUACUAGUUAUUCAGAAUGCGGAUAUAUUAUACUAGGUUUUAAAACCAGGGUUUAUUUGUUCUUGACCUGGCUUACCUGAGCGGACAGCUUGAACCAAUGGGGGCAGUGUAUCGGGAAUACAGAAGCUUCAUCGGCUUUGCAACUUGUCCGAAUCUCAUUCUAAAAUUGGGAUAUGACUCUAAGAGAAGAGAAGCUACUCGAAGUGCAUCCUUCUCAAAUGAUUUAGAAGAUGCAGAGAGAGGAGAAAUCCGUAUCAAUUUAUAUAUAGUUCAACAAUAUCAAAGCGGUAAAAAGCAACAUUUAGCACAUUAGGCCCAAACAUGUGAAUAAAACCAGAUAAUAUAUAAAGCAAAACAGAAUAAUUAUUCCAAGCUCUAAUUCUAAACACCAAACUAGAGAUUCUGGGUUCUUGUCCGCAGCAGGGUCGCCAGAGCUGUCACGCCUCCUUUUUACUAUCUCCCGAAGGGUAUGACGUAGUUUUUUUUCAAUAUAAGUGACAAUCAAAAUGAGAUUAUUUAUUUAAAAAUCAGAGUCGCGACAUGGGAUAAUUUAUGAUGUCCCAAGUCACUGGUUUAAAAUUCCGAAUCGAGGAAGUUUGACUUUGUUUUAUAGUCCGCGAACACAGAAAUCUGGUAAGGUAUUCUGUUAACCCGGAAGAAGGUGUUUCACAUUUUUGAGUUUCAUGGUUCUAGCAUGGUCGCUCAACUAUUAUUAUUAGCCUAUUUAUCUGAUUUUGAAAUACUUUUAACCCUAUGUGCACCUUUUAACUUUUGAAAAAACCACUUUACUUAUUUAAGGAAAAUUAAACGUUAUUUAAAAUACACCGCAAGCCACGCUACAUGAAAUGCACCCGUGAGUCACGACACAUUUAGUUAGCCUUGUAGAAAAUUAGAACCGGGUCACAUGAAAUCCACCCCAAGAUUUUAAUAGCCAUAUAAUUAUAUAUUCAACGCACCUAAAGCAAACUAUGAAGUUUGUUUUUAAUAUCUGAAGUAAUAUUUGCGAGGGUCGUAGAUGAUUUAAUUUACUUAUGGCACGCCUCAAAUCUAUUUCCUUAAGCGAUGUCUUGGUCUAGUGCUUUGAGUGCCAUACAUUAUAGGUCUUGUUCAAUAUGAUACACCUCAACCUAAUUAAAAGGGUCCUUUUUAAUUAAAGACAUCUAAGGGAGUUCUAAUUUAUUCAAAGUAAAAGUUUUAUCUACACCUAAUAAUUAAUGAAAUUGCGCAUGAAUGAAAUCAGGUAUUUAGUUACAUGAAGGGCCUAGGCUGGCAGCAGGCCCAAUAGUCACUUGAAAGCUUCCAUAUCAAAAUACAAGGUACGCCUCGGCUCAACACAAACUCCAGGAUGCACAUAUAAUCACGAAGGAGGAAUUUAGGCAUAGUUGAGCCAACGACAACGGCCCAAUUGCACAACCUUAACGACGUUGCUCAAAAUACACAAUUGGGGGGGNNNNNNNNNNNNNNNNNNNNNNNNNNNNNNNNNNNNNNNNNNNNNNNNNNNNNNNNNNNNNNNNNNNNNNNNNNNNNNNNNNNNNNNNNNNNNNNNNNNNNNNNNNNNNNNNNNNNNNNNNNNNNNNNNNNNNNNNNNNNNNNNNNNNNNNNNNNNNNNNNNNNNNNNNNNNNNNNNNNNNNNNNNNNNNNNNNNNNNNNNNNNNNNNNNNNNNNNNNNNNNNNNNNNNNNNNNNNNNNNNNNNNNNNNNNNNNNNNNNNNNNNNNNNNNNNNNNNNNNNNNNNNNNNNNNNNNNNNNNNNNNNNNNNNNNNNNNNNNNNNNNNNNNNNNNNNNNNNNNNNNNNNNNNNNNNNNNNNNNNNNNNNNNNNNNNNNNNNNNNNNNNNNNNNNNNNNNNNNNNNNNNNNNNNNNNNNNNNNNNNNNNNNNGGGGGGAGCUGGGCUUUAGAUUGAACCCAAAUGAAGGAGUAGAGGUACCUUGGACCAAACAAGACCAACCCAGCUCAGAUGGCUUCAUUUGGGUCAACUCCAAAACUCCAGACACUAGGCAGCGGUAAACCAAAAAUCAGGCCCUAAUAAGGCCCAACUAACUACAAUACACAUAACAACAUACUAAGCAAGUUUUUAAGAAUCAUAAUACAUGAAUAACCGUAUUAUGGAUUUUAAAAUUUAUUUUACCAUUCAUGCUAACCAUAAAAUCUUAGAUUAUAAAACUACUUUCUAGCCUUAACAAUAAUUCCACUAAACAUGAUACUAACCACCACAAGAGGUCAAUUCUGAAAUUCACUCAAAGAUUCCCUCUAUAUUUAUGAUCAUGCUUAACAAUUCAAUACAUGGAUUUACAUCCGAGUACCCUUUGAAUAACAGUCCCAAUUAAUUAUAACUAAUAAGUGUAACAACUUUUUGAACACUCAUGAAUAAGCUAAAACAACUAAAAUGUUUAAAUCACCCAACUAUACUAAGUCUAGCAUCGGCAGUAAUAUAAUCAAGCUGAAGCAGUUUAAUGAACACUAGAAAAGAUGCAUAAGAAUCCCAUUCCAUAUCAGUAAUUUACAAGUCUAUUCUAUCACUUCAAGAUCAUGAAUAUACCUGGAACACCAAGAGAAAACCAACAGAAACUUCAGCAAAGAAAUCAAAAUAUCACUAGCUCCUUAGGAAGUAGUACACAAACAGUUAUCAGCCUUCUACCACCAUGUCUUGAACCAAGAAUGAGAACGGCAAUUUACUCAAACUUUUAAGACCCAAAAAAUCAAAAGAACAACUUCAAUGUAACAAUAUUUAGAUGAUUUAUUUUUGUAUUAUUCUUCUAAUUUUCGGACAUAUACCAGUGUAUAGUUUUAGUUAUUUCUAGCUCUAGGUAUUCUGAUCUAUGCCCUCAAAAUCAAAGAAAUGAGACCUUUAUAAAGAAGUUUUAGGACAGCAAAAUCUAAUUCUUAUCUUCACCAUUUACCCCUUCCCCAAUUUUUACUUUUUCACUUUAGACCCUGUAUUUUGAAUCUUCUUGUUAAAACCAACCUAUUUCCUACUUUCCUAGCAGCUUCCUAGGCAGUUAUAAAAGAUUCUUUCAGUGAAAAUACCCUAAAUACCCUUCAAAUGUCUGUUAUUUACAUUUAGAAAAACCACUAAUUGGGCUAGACCCCAGCAUGCUUGAACCCUUCCCCCUCAGAAGCCCAACUUCUGGUCCAAAAAUCACAACACAAAAACAAACAAACCAACGGAGUUUUGAAACUCCUAGCCUCAAAAUUCUAAAGAAGCAAAACAAAAGGAGAAUGGAGCAACAAGAAAUAAUGAACUCAAAGUACUAAAAAGAAACUGUAAACUACAUUAUUAGGCUAAUAUCCUUAUAAAUUAAUAUGACUUAAAUCAACCAUGCAAAUAGAAAUCAAUUUGAACUAAUAAAGAAGAAGAAAGAAACAAAAAUAAGAAAAAAGAAGAAACAAAAAUAGUAACUAAUUAACAAGGAGGAGAAAAGAAUAAGAAUAGACUGACUGACCAAACGGAAGCAAUAGCCAAAAUCGCACAUGAAUGAUAUGGCCACUAAAAUUGCUUAUGCCUGAAACUCAAUCUAACGAGCACCAUUUGUCAAGAUUACUUUGCCAAAGAAAGUUUUAGGCUUGGUGAGCAGAAACCUUCAUUACAAACCCAGCCCCGGAAUUAGGUUAAACUCUAUAUUGCAAAUUCGACAAACUCUAGGAUUCGUUUGGGAAAAUUGCCAAGAGUUUCGGGUUUUGGGGAAGGCUGGGGACUGUAGGAUGUUAAUUUGGGUGGGUUUGGGUAAAUUAGGGUUUUGGGAUCCAAUUUUGGAUCUGAAAUUCGGGCAACUUGGUGAUGGUUUGAAGGAAAGGUUUUGGGGGUGGCAGGCUCUAUGCUUUCUUGCUAUUUGAGUUGAAUAUAGGAGGUAGGGAUUGGACUUCCUACAUUUAAAUACAAGUGAAAGACCCAGUUCUCAACCGUUCGAUGAGUGGAAGUCAAUGACUUGGAUAAAAAGUCACAAAACGACGUCGUUUGGUUAGGAUUGGGGACUAAACGGGGUACUUAG
rnacentral:lncRNA from 1 species